AAGCACUUAAUUACAGUAAAACUUGAAGAUAUUACUUCACCUCAAUCAGUUGCUUACGACCCACAUGAUCGACUGGUAUACUGGGUGAACAGUAAUAAUAUUUCAAGGACUAAUCUGAAUGGAAGUAAUAACGAAAUCAUCUUUUCCGAACCCACGGGUGUUAAAUAUGGCGAUAUUGCCCUAGACUUUGUUGACCGGAAAAUAUACUGGACGAGAUAUCAUGGUGGCAUAGUGCGACGAACCAACUUUGACGGAAGUCAGUUUCAACAGAUUAUUGAAAAUCGUCCUUAUGUUGAUGGACUUGCUGUAGAUAGCAUC